rnacentral:rRNA from 1 species
AAUAGAUACCCGGGUAGUCCACGCCGUAAACGAUGAAUGCUAGGUGUUAGGGGUUUCGAUACCCUUGGUGCCGAAGUUAACACAUUAAGCAUUCCGCCUGGGGAGUACGGCCGCAAGGCUGAAACUCAAAGGAAUUGACGGGGACCCGCACAAGCAGUGGAGUAUGUGGUUUAAUUCGAAGCAACGCGAAGAACCUUACCAGGUCUUGACAUCCCCCUGACCGGCGCAGAGAUGUGCCUUUCCUUCGGGACAGGGGAGACAGGUGGUGCAUGGUUGUCGUCAGCUCGUGUCGUGAGAUGUUGGGUUAAGUCCCGCAACGAGCGCAACCCUUGACUUUAGUUGCCAGCAAGUAAGGUUGGGCACUCUAGAGUGACUGCCGGUGACAAACCGGAGGAAGGUGGGGAUGACGUCAAAUCAUCAUGCCCCUUAUGACCUGGGCUACACACGUACUACAAUGGCCGGUACAACGGGAAGCGAAGGAGCGAUCUGGAGCGAAUCCUUUAAAGCCGGUCUCAGUUCGGAUUGCAGGCUGCAACUCG